AGAUCAAUAAGAUCAUCGACCCCUCCUUCAUCUUACUCCACAAGACAAGGCUCGAAAAUAUAUGCAUGAGCAACAAUGGUGUAGCAUAGAAGCUGGGAUAAUCCAAAUCAGGAGUAGAAAAAAAUAAAACAAUCAAUACCAUAAGUAUAAUACGAGCCCUUGUGGACAAGACCACUAGAUCUAAACGGCGAACCCUUGCAGAUAAGAUUGCUAGAUUGAAUCAGUGAGCCCUCGCAAAUAAGACUGUUGAACCAAAUCAAUGGGCCCUUAUAGAUAAGAAUGCUAGAUUAAAUCAAUGGGCCCUUGCAAGUAAGACUGCUAGACCAAAUUAAUAGACCCUUGUAGAUAAAACACAGAGUUUGUAGGAACUAGGGUUCUGAAAGGAGAGAAGAGGUUCCAAUGCCAGAACAAAGAGAGCGUGGGAACAAGAGGAGAUAUGUUGGUGUUAUCGAUUUGCUGUAGCCUGUCGUAUGCGUCUUUGCUCAAUUCUUCCAAUUCAUGCGCUGCACACUGAAAAGUGAUGCAGUUUCAGGGAGAAAUUUGAUAAAUGAGGGUGAAGUUAUUGAAGAAUGUCUUAGCCUUGGAAAGUAUGCUAUGGAGCUAAGCUCUGCAGCUUUUAGAAGCAUCUGGCGCUUUAAUACAGAGGCGGCUUGCAAAUUUAAUCCGGAGAACGGCUGUGGAGGAUCCAUCUAUUCCUUCCAGGAUGAAACUUGUGAUUGACGACCGCUCUUGUGCAGCUGACAGCCAUAUCACGUUUUAUAAUCAGGUUGGUUAUUGAAUUGAAUCAUUCUUUGCUCUCUAUGCUAAUUACUUUCUUGAAUUGUAUAGUUUAAAAGAUACUAUAAUUUAGCUGAUUCCAAGACGAAGAUAACUUAAUCCACUAAAUUAUAGUUACUUACCUCAUGAUGCCUCUAAAUUGUUUUCAAAGCAUUCUGUUAUAAGUGUGCGUCUUAUUGUUAGAAGUCACAAUUCGAUUUUGCUCCUCUUCAUGUUGUACAACAAUUGUAUGUAAGAUACCUGUGUCCUUUCAUUUCUUAACCUAUAUUACAGGCCAUCUGUAGAGUCCAAAAAACAAUAACACAAAAGGUACAUGGAGUGUGCUGCAUAUCUACCUUAAAAACACUUCUUU